rnacentral:rRNA from 1 species
GACGAACGCUGGCGGCGUGCCUAAUACAUGCAAGCCGAACGAAGCUUUUUUAACUGGUGCUUGCACCGACUUAAACAACUGAGUGGUGAACGGGUGAGUAACACGUGGGUAACCUGCCCCAAAGCGGGGGAUAACAUUUGGAAACAGAUGCUAAUACCGCAUAACCACAGAAACCACAUGGUUUCUGUGUCAAAGAUGGUUUCGGCUAUCACUUUGGGAUGGACCCGCGGCGUAUUAGCUAGUUGGUAAGGUAAUGGCUUACCAAGGCAAUGAUAGGUAGCCGAACUGAGAGGUUGAUCGGCCACAUUGGGACUGAGACACGGCCCAAACUCCUACGGGAGGCAGCAGUAGGGAAUCUUCCACAAUGGACGAAAGUCUGAUGGAGCAACGCCGCGUGAGUGAAGAAGGUUUUCGGAUCGUAAAACUCUAUUGUCAGAGAAGAACGUGUGCGAGAGUAACUGUUCGUGCAGUGACGGUAUCUGGCCAGAAAGCCACGGCUAACUACGUGCCAGCAGCCGCGGUAA